CCCCACUGUCUGAACAGAAACUGGAACCCAAACCUACAUGGAAGGUUAUGUGGCUGUUUCUCGCCCCCACUGGACCGUAAGGUCUUUGCAGGCAGCAGUCUUGCCUCUUGCUGCCGCUUAAUUCUGAAUCCUUGCGAAGACCCCUGGGGGGGUGAUCUAACUUCUUUAGAAUUAGGACAUGUCAACCGAGAAAGGGAACACAGAUCUCAAGGAGUUCAAGUCCUCAUUACACACACCAGGAGCCUGAGGCUCAGAGGGGAGAUGGGACCCACCCACGGUCACACAGGGGAGCCACCAGAACCCCCGUCGCAGGCUUCCAGCCCAGACUCAAGAGCUCAGACUCUGGUUACAGUCCACCUGAGUCCAAAUGUGGCCCCUCUCCACUUCCCAGCUGUGUGGCCCUGACCAGGUCACUGAGCCCCAGGUCCCAGGCACCUGUCUGAGUUGUUGUGGGUAUCAGCUGUGAUGAUGUAAGCGCUUUGCUCAGUGACAUUGUUAUUCGUCAUCAUCAUCAUCCUGACAGGAGGGAGGGCAGGUGCUUCCAAGCUGUCAGGGCUGCUGUCUUUUGGUUGGGGCUACACCACCUGCUCAAAAGUUACCCCAGCAUCCACGACGUGCCAAACCUGGGUGAGGAUUCAGGGUAGAGAGCACAGGUGCUCAGCUUCGUCUCGACUGAGGUUCCGGAGGAGAGGCGGGGGGCAGGUGGCCACCUAUGGCAGGAGCCGGGCUCCAGGACUGAGCGUGCCACGGACCAGCUCAGGGAACUUGGCAAGGCCCCCGCCUGGGUCUCCACUCCCCUCUGUCCACGGUCACGAGGUGUCCUCUCUUGCACACUCUCCAAACUGAGGACCAACUGCCCACCUUCACCAGAGCAAAUCUGGGAAAAGUAGCAAGCACAACAUGAGUCGAAGUGACGCAUUUCGGAGCCUGGCGGCAAAAGGCUGGGCCCAACUGGAUUCAGUCUGUUUUGCUGGCGUGAGAGGCCGGGCCAGCCUUUCUGAGAAUCAUGGACUCUGAAGCUGCUCUCCUCCCAGCGAGCCGUGCUCCCCGUGGCCCAGGCCAGGCAGGGCCUCUCCCCUCUGGGCAUUCCGCCAUGUGGAGGGUUCCAGCGUGAGGAGCAGCCAAGCACAGCCCCCGCACCUUCCCAGUGACCCUCCACCAUCCCGGGCUGAGGUUUGGGAUCCAGAGCUCGCCUCACGGUUACCUAGAGAGGGACCCUGAGGAGCUGGACGUGCUCUGGGGGAGGGGUGGCCCGGGGCCCUGCCUGUCCCCAGCUGUGGGAUUGGGGGCACAGGUGAGCCCUUUCUGUCGUGCACAAAUGUGUGUGCAAGGCCUACCCGGCCUCCUACACAGGGCAGCUGGAGGCGGACAGGCAAUGCAGUUGACAGCUCAGCCAAUGACACAUCUCCACACAUGCCCGAGAUGACUCCCAGGAAUGCCCAGCCCCUCUCUGUCCCCAAAUGUCUCCCCACUUGCCUCCUAAUACCUGCUGUCCCCACCAUUAGAUUGAGCCUUCUGGGUUAUUCAGAGGCUCUGCUGACUUACAGCCAAGGCUGCUGCUGGGAGGGGAGGCGGGGUGGUGAGCACCCCACAGGCUCUCCUCCGUGCCCGCGCUGUCCUCCCUGCUUGCGGCUCUCCUCCGUGCCCGUGGCUCUCCUCCAUACCGCACAACCUUAGUUAGCUCGGCAGCAGGACGUGGCACAGGCCAGGAGGCAGGAGGCUCCUGCUGCGCAGGAACCUGGAGGCCUCAGGAACAAAGGCCAGCGGAGGGGCAGCUGGUUGCCCUGAGGCUCUCUAGGCAGCAGGAGUAGGGGUGCUGGCUUGAGUGCCCUGCGGACCUGGGAGUGGUCAGUGGAGAAAGGAGCCAGUGGGGACCCAGGGAGCCCAUGGCCGGCUUGAUCUGCUGCAGCCCUGCCCAGUGGAAAGGACGCAGGAUCUGGAGCCUGACAGACCAGGGCUCCACUGCACAUUUGUGCAGCACAGUUCUCAACCCCUCUGAACCUCAUGCUGUCAUUUAUUAAAAAGAGAGAAAGAACGACUCCAGUUCAAAGUCUUUUAAGCGUUAAAAUAAUAUGUGUAAGAGCAGACCACUUAUUAUUACUAUUGACAAUUUUGUUGUGGCCUUAGCAUGGGUAGGCUACACAUAUUUUCCCCCACGUCGGGGUAUGCACUGCCUCCUUGCUGUGUCAUCUCCUCCAGACUGGAAUGGAAUGCAGUAGAAAGGACAGAGGACUGGGGGUCAGAAGGCCUGGAUUCUAACUCUGCCUUUGCACUUAUUGCCUAAAGGACCUUGGGCAAGUUCCCUGGCCACUCAGAGCCCCACCUAUAAAAUGAGGGGAAUGGAUGGGAUAAUAAUCACGAACUCACGAAGCUGCUGUGAGAAUGACAUAAAACAAAUAUGUCCACAAUGGUUCCCAUCUGUCCAGCACUUACCAGUGUGCCAGGCAUCACUAAGGGCUUCACAAGCAUUAUUUCAAGGGACCCAUCCCAGUACAACCUUAAAAUUUUCCCUACUUCGAUAGAUGAGAAAACUGAGGCUCAGAGAUGUUAGGCAACGUGGCCAAAGGUCACACAGCUUGCAAGUGGGGGAGCUUGAAUUUGAACCCAGACAGCCACUACUUCACUACUCUGCUGGGCAUGGGAUCCAAGCACAUCCAAGCUGGAAGAAGCCUUAAAGCAUACCUGGUCCAACCACCUGCUUACUGCUGAGGACUCCCCUCCACCUGUGCCUGCAUCGUAACUUCUCAGAUGAGUCCCUGUAGCUGACGGCUCUUCACCAGUUGCAUGGCAUCCACAGAGCAAGCAUCGUUCCCUUUAGAGGAGGGCCCCAAGACCCAGAGAAGCCAAGUCACCUGC